rnacentral:rRNA from 1 species
UGAACCUUCGGGGAACGAUACGGCGUCGAGCGGCGGACGGGUGAGUAAUGCCUAGGAAAUUGCCCUGAUGUGGGGGAUAACCAUUGGAAACGAUGGCUAAUACCGCAUGAUGCCUACGGGCCAAAGAGGGGGACCUUCGGGCCUCUCGCGUCAGGAUAUGCCUAGGUGGGAUUAGCUAGUUGGUGAGGUAAGGGCUCACCAAGGCGACGAUCCCUAGCUGGUCUGAGAGGAUGAUCAGCCACACUGGAACUGAGACACGGUCCAGACUCCUACGGGAGGCAGCAGUGGGGAAUAUUGCACAAUGGGCGCAAGCCUGAUGCAGCCAUGCCGCGUGUGUGAAGAAGGCCUUCGGGUUGUAAAGCACUUUCAGUCGUGAGGAAGGUGGUGUAGUUAAUAGCUGCAUUAUUUGACGUUAGCGACAGAAGAAGCACCGGCUAACUCCGUGCCAGCAGCCGCGGUAAUACGGAGGGUGCGAGCGUUAAUCGGAAUUACUGGGCGUAAAGCGCAUGCAGGUGGUUUGUUAAGUCAGAUGUGAAAGCCCGGGGCUCAACCUCGGAAUAGCAUUUGAAACUGGCAGACUAGAGUACUGUAGAGGGGGGUAGAAUUUCAGGUGUAGCGGUGAAAUGCGUAGAGAUCUGAAGGAAUACCGGGUGGCGAAGGCGGCCCCCUGGACAGAUACUGACACUCAGAUGCGAAAGCGUGGGGAGCAAACAGGAUUAGAUACCCUGGUAGUCCACGCCGUAAACGAUGUCUACUUGGAGGUUGUGGCCUUGAGCCGUGGCUUUCGGAGCUAACGCGUUAAGUAGACCGCCUGGGGAGUACGGUCGCAAGAUUAAAACUCAAAUGAAUUGACGGGGGCCCGCACAAGCGGUGGAGCAUGUGGUUUAAUUCGAUGCAACGCGAAGAACCUUACCUACUCUUGACAUCCAGAGAACUUUCCAGAGAUGGAUUGGUGCCUUCGGGAACUCUGAGACAGGUGCUGCAUGGCUGUCGUCAGCUCGUGUUGUGAAAUGUUGGGUUAAGUCCCGCAACGAGCGCAACCCUUAUCCUUGUUUGCCAGCGAGUAAUGUCGGGAACUCCAGGGAGACUGCCGGUGAUAAACCGGAGGAAGGUGGGGACGACGUCAAGUCAUCAUGGCCCUUACGAGUAGGGCUACACACGUGCUACAAUGGCGCAUACAGAGGGCGGCCAACUUGCGAAAGUGAGCGAAUCCCAAAAAGUGCGUCGUAGUCCGGAUUGGAGUCUGCAACUCGACUCCAUGAAGUCGGAAUCGCUAGUAAUCGUGGAUCAGAAUGCCACGGUGAAUACGUUCCCGGGCCUUGUACACACCGCCCGUCACACCAUGGGAGUGGGCUGCAAAAGAAGUAGGUAGU